rnacentral:rRNA from 1 species
UGCAGUCGAACGGCAGCACGGACUUCGGUCUGGUGGCGAGUGGCGAACGGGUGAGUAAUGUAUCGGAACGUGCCCAGUAGCGGGGGAUAACUACGCGAAAGCGUAGCUAAUACCGCAUACGCCCUACGGGGGAAAGCAGGGGAUCGCAAGACCUUGCACUAUUGGAGCGGCCGAUAUCGGAUUAGCUAGUUGGUGGGGUAACGGCUCACCAAGGCGACGAUCCGUAGCUGGUUUGAGAGGACGACCAGCCACACUGGGACUGAGACACGGCCCAGACUCCUACGGGAGGCAGCAGUGGGGAAUUUUGGACAAUGGGGGAAACCCUGAUCCAGCCAUCCCGCGUGUGCGAUGAAGGCCUUCGGGUUGUAAAGCACUUUUGGCAGGAAAGAAACGUCGUGGGUUAAUACCCCGCGAAACUGACGGUACCUGCAGAAUAAGCACCGGCUAACUACGUGCCAGCAGCCGCGGUAAUACGUAGGGUGCAAGCGUUAAUCGGAAUUACUGGGCGUAAAGCGUGCGCAGGCGGUUCGGAAAGAAAGAUGUGAAAUCCCAGAGCUUAACUUUGGAACUGCAUUUUUAACUACCGGGCUAGAGUGUGUCAG